rnacentral:rRNA from 1 species
AUUGAACGCUGGCGGCAGGCCUAACACAUGCAAGUCGAACGAGUGGCGGACGGGUGAGUAAUGUCUGGGAAACUGCCUGAUGGAGGGGGAUAACUACUGGAAACGGUAGCUAAUACCGCAUACCAUCAGAUGUGCCCAGAUGGGAUUAGCUGGUAGGUGGGGUAAUGGCUCACCUAGGCGACGAUCCCUAGCUGGUCUGAGAGGAUGACCAGCCACACUGGAACUGAGACACGGUCCAGACUCCUACGGGAGGCAGCAGUGGGGAAUAUUGCACAAUGGGCGCAAGCCUGAUGCAGCCAUGCCGAGUGUGUGAAGAAGGCCUUCGGGUUGUAAAGCACUUUCAGCGAGGAGGCGUUACCCGCAGAAGAAGCACCGGCUAACUCCAUGCCAGCAGCCGCGGUAAUAC